UUCCGGUUGAUCCCGCCGGAGGUUACUGCUAUCGAGGUUCGACUAAGCCAUGCGAGUCGAAUGUAGCAAUACAUGGCGAACUGCUCAGUAACACGUGGACAACCUGCCCUUAGGUUGGGUAUAAACCCGGGAAACUGGGUAUAAUACCCGAUAGGUCUCGAUUACUGGAAUGCAUCGAGAUUUAAAGCUCCGGCGCCUAAGGAUGGGUCUGCGGCCUAUCAGGUAGUAGUGGGUGUAGCGUACCUACUAGCCUACGACGGGUACGGGUUGUGAGAGCAAGAGCCCGGAGAUGGAUUCUGAGACACGAAUCCAGGCCCUACGGGGUGCAGCAGGCGCGAAAACUUUACAAUGCUGGCAACAGCGAUAAGGGAACCUCGAGUGCCAGGUUACAAAUCUGGCUGUCGAGAUGCCUAAAAAGCAUUUCAUAGCAAGGGCCGGGCAAGACCGGUGCCAGCCGCCGCGGUAACACCGGCGGCUCGAGUGGUAACCGUUAUUAUUGGGUCUAAAGGGUCUGUAGCCGGCCGGAUAAGUCUCUUGAGAAAUCUGGCAGCUUAACUGUCAAAUCCCGCGGCC
rnacentral:rRNA from 1 species